ACUCCUGCGGGAGGCAGCAGUGGGGAAUUUUGGACAAUGGGCGAAAGCCUGAUCCAGCAAUGCCGCGUGCAGGAUGAAGGCCUUCGGGUUGUAAACUGCUUUUGUACGGAACGAAAAAGCUCCUUCUAAUACAGGGGGCCCAUGACGGUACCGUAAGAAUAAGCACCGGCUAACUACGUGCCAGCAGCCGCGGUAAUACGUAGGGUGCGAGCGUUAAUCGGAAUUACUGGGCGUAAAGCGUGCGCAGGCGGUUAUGUAAGACAGAUGUGAAAUCCCCGGGCUCAACCUGGGAACUGCAUUUGUGACUGCAUGGCUAGAGUACGGUAGAGGGGGAUGGAAUUCCGCGUGUAGCAGUGAAAUGCGUAGAUAUGCGGAGGAACACCGAUGGCGAAGGCAAUCCCCUGGACCUGUACUGACGCUCAUGCACGAAAGCGUGGGGAGCAAACAGGAUUAGAUACCCGAAUAGUCCCAUGAU
rnacentral:rRNA from 1 species